UGGAAGACAGGCUGGCACAAUUUAAAUGCCAGCCGGACCCAAAAUGGAUGAUCCAAAUUUUGUUUUUUUUCUUUAAGAAAAAAAUAUUAUUAUGAUGACGUAACUACCCAUGUGCAGAUAGUUGAAUUACAAAUGGAUGCCAUUUAGUGGAAUCUGUGCCAAAAAAGUAUAGCGCUGCUGUUGCCGUAUUUAAUCUUUUGCUUUUUCACGCGCGGGACUGUGCAGAGCGUAUUUAACAUUUUAACUAAAGCAAAAGCCAUUAUUAAUCGUGGCUUUUUUCUAGUUUAAUUGAUUGAUGGAUUCACAGCCGUCAGAUGUACUUUUUUUAUUAGCAUUUGAUUGGUAGUGAUGGAUAAGAUUUUGAUAAGACAUGUGGCUUAUCGGGAUGGACUAAUCUCUUGGGCCCCGACCCAUGAUCCGGAGCCAAGUUUCAACUUUUAAAUUUGUA
rnacentral:lncRNA from 1 species